AAGUCCUCACCAGUGUUUGGGACUGCGAUAUCAGUACUGGAGGGAACCUCUGUGACCCUUGUCUACAGAUUUCCCAGUGAGGAGAAUCACAUGCUUGAUACAACUUUGAGUGAAACCAGUACUUGCAAAUGUUGGUGCUGUUGUAAUCCCAUAGCUGCGACAACUUUAUCUACCAUCCCACAAGAAAACAAAUACAGAUGUAUAACUGGAGAUGGGAUGGUGAACUUCACCAUUUUAAACCUUCAGCCUGCAGACAGUGGGAACUACUGUUGCAGAGCAGAGAUCUCUACAGUGUUAAAUAAACCUUUAGAAUUCUACAGCCUGAGGGUAGUGAAAGGUUGCAACAGGGAUCUACUGGACGGAUUGGAUUUUCUGGGCAACAAUAUUGAGAAUCAGCCAAUCACAAUCCAAAGUGCAAGUCAGUGCAGGCAGGAAUGCACCAAUAUUGACAAGUGCCAGUACUUCACAUUUAAUUGGAAGGAGACAGAAAGAAGAAACAAAUGUUCCUUGAAGGCCUCAAUUGGUGAUCUGAUGAACUCAACAAUUACAAUACAGCGCCUCCAAAAUGCAACCUCAGGCUAUUCCCUGAAAAACUGCAGUG